UUUCUGGAGAGUCCAGACUGCAGACUGCAGACUCUGAGGUUGAUGAACUGCAGUUUAACAAAGUCCAGCUGUGCUGCUCUGGUCUCAGCUCUGAAGUCCAACCCGUGCCACCUGAAAGAACUGGGCCUGAGCUUCAACAACCUUCAGUCUUCAGAUGUUCAGCAGCUCCAGGAUCUGGUGGAGAGUCCAAACUCCAAACUGCAGACUCUAUGGUGGUACUAAAGAGUCUGAUGUUCCUCUUGGAGGAGCAGAGAGGAGCAGCAGCAGCUUGUCUGCAGAGAUGUUGUGACUGGACGGUGUUCCUGGGAGGUGGAGAGCAGAGUGAUGGAGGAAUCAGAGGAAGUGGAGAUGAGUGUCAGAGCUGCAGCAGGAACUGAUCUGAGAUCAGCUCCACUGUCUCUCUCAGCAUCAAGUGGACAGUUAUUGUGCUGCAGCUCCCCCGGUGGACUGAUGGAGAACUGCACUUCCUCUUCUCAUUCUAACUUGGAGUGUUUAUCUGAAACAUGGGUUGGAUUCAGAUUUUCAGCAGCUCCAGGAUCUGGAGGAAAACAGACCUGCAGACAAACAGAUUCUUUUCUAGAUCAUCACUUUCUUCUUUGAUGUACAUUUAUGAACAGAUGUGAGUUUGGGAUGGACCAAUCAAGGAUUGAGGGAAUCAUUGAUCAGACAGAACAUUUCUGGAUUAGAUAGAUCUAUGUGUGGUUCUGGUUCUGUCUCUCGAACAGGGACAGAACCAGAACUUUGGAUCACAAGAUUCUGGUUCCAGAUUUUUCACACUUUUCUGUACUCUCAUUGACAAACAAACAGAGUUUCAUUCAGAAACCUCCAACAUGGUCCAUAACAUGUGACCAUAAUAUUUAUAGUACAGACACGGACAUUCACUGUGGUCACAUGACUCUGGUUUGGAUUCAAGUUAUUUGAAGUCAAGUUUUUUCAGCUCUGUGAAUGUUGAUACGAUCUAUGGUUUUGACAUCAGACGCUAGCUUUCCAGAAAUGACAUAUUUUCAGUUGUUUCACACUUUUUUGUUAUGUAUAUAAUUCCACAUGUGUUAAUUCACAGUUUUUAUGCCUUCAGUUUGAAUCUACAAUUUUCAUAGUCAUGAAAAUAAAAAAAACUCUUUGAAUGAGAAGGUGUGUCCAAACCUUUGGUCUGUACUAUAUAUGUGCUGCCAAAUGGUGUGGACAUCUUCAUUGCUUUUUUUUAUGUUAGGGUUCGUGUCAUUUGGGUUGGUGGCAUAGAAGUCAAUGAGACUGUUGGGCUUGAAUGCAUCUUUCAAAACAUCACAGUUCCGUAACUCGGCUAGCUCAAACUGAUAAGAUGGCUGGGCUUUAUCGAUGUCAGCAAGAAAGGGAUUUUGGAAAAGACAUUUCUUUUGCAUUGUUACUGCUGUGGCUGUAUUUGAUUUGGAUUUCUUUUUGUUCUGUGUGUUUUGUAUUUCUGUAGCAGAGUGGGACCUCUGUGUUCUUGUGCAUUUUGUGAUUAUUUCUAGGUGUGCUAGAAAGAGUGUGGCCUCCAUUUGGACCCAGGUUGAUG